UCGUAUAAGACAAGCUUUUUAAUGUUGAUAAUUAACUACAUAUAAAGUAAGAUUGCUUCAAUUCAGUCUCAGAACAUUUACGGAUUUAUUUCAUUACAUUCACAGAAAAUGGCAUUUAGCGUUGUACAUUUGCUAAUGACCGAUGAAGUGGCUGUCGUCCAAGCAAAUGAGUGUCAGAUGAUAAAAAGGGACAUGUAACUGGCCUUCGUAUAAAGAAAGAAGUCACAUGAAAAGAGCAAUUCUGGAACACAGAGAACCAGAUACAUCCUGAGAGAAUUUUUAUAUUGUUAUCCUGAGAGAAUAUUGUGCUUUCAAAGAAAAUCGGGCCACCAGAGAGGUACCUUGCAAUAUUAUUGAAAAUAUUAUAAAAGACUGGUUGAAAAGUGUGUUUCAUUUAGAGAAAAGUAUCAUAAACAAAAAGGAAAAUGUACAACAGAAGGAAGUUUGUAAACAAUGGAAUAAAAAAUUUGUGUAUUAGCUUGUACGAAAAUACUGUAAUUAAAGUUAUUAAUUGUUCA